CUACGGGCGGCAGCAGUGGGGAAUUUUGCGCAAUGGGCGAAAGCCUGACGCAGCAAUACCGCGUGAGUGAAGAAGGCCUUUGGGUCGUAAAGCUCUUUUCUGGGGGAAGAUAGUGACGGUACCCCAGGAAUAAGCACCGGCUAACUCCGUGCCAGCAGCUGCGGUAAUACGGAGGGUGCAAGCGUUGUUCGGAUUUACUGGGCGUAAAGGGCACGUAGGCGGCACAGCAAGUUAAGGGUGAAAUCCCGGGGCUCAACUCCGGAACUGCGCUUAAAACUGCUGAGCUAGAGAUGGUCAGAGGCGGGUAGAAUUCCUGGUGUAGAGGUGAAAUUCGUAGAUAUCAGGAGGAAUACCGGUGGCGAAGGCGGCCCGCUGGGGCCAUUCUGACGCUAAGGUGCGAAAGCGUGGGGAGCGAACGGGAUUAGAUACCCGGGUAGUC
rnacentral:rRNA from 1 species